rnacentral:rRNA from 1 species
GACAGAGGGUGCAAGCGUUGUUCGGAAUUAUUGGGCGUAAAGCGCGCGUAGGCGGCGAUGUAAGUCGGAUGUGAAAGCCCAGGGCUUAACCUUGGAAGUGCAUCCGAUACUAUAUUGCUUGAGUGCCGGAGAGGGUGGUGGAAUUCCCAGUGUAGCGGUGAAAUUCGUAGAUAUUGGGAGGAACACCAGUGGCGAAGGCGACCACCUGGACGGACACUGACGCUGAGGUGCGAAAGCGUGGGUAGCAAACAGG